AACAUGCAACCAUUCGAAACCCGGAGAGGACGCGGUUGGUAAUAGACACGAGAUCGCUUACAAUAAUAGAUACAUUGAUCAAAUUUGAAAUGAAAAAUGUUGUCUACUUUAAAUGUCUUUAAUAACGUAGGAUAUAUCCACAACUAUCAUUAAUUUAAAGUUAAAUGCCGAUUGUAUAAGCCUACUGUUGGUUUUGUUUACUAUGCUGAAUAAUUAUUGCAGUAAGGUGUCUUUUCUGAGCACCUGACACUUCAUCAAUACAUGCAUAGAAAUAUAACGACUAGAACUGACAACUUGGAGGGGCGAGAGGGUUGGAGGAUGGAAAUGGCGGCUAGUACUGCAGACGAAAUGGAGGAAAUGGAGAAAAGGUCCCAGGUCCCGAGAUUCUUUUUAUUCUCACUCAACAGCUUCAUCAUCACUCAAGGCCACAAUGGAACAGAAUAUUGCACCUUGGUGGAUCUUGACUAAUCUGAGUGCAGAGUACUGGUGCACACGGAAGGCAUCGCUUAAGAAAAUCUCAAGGAAGGACACUGUGGCACUCUCUUGGACUGGCUGGAUCAGCAGUAGGGAGGGGACACAGAGACCACAGGAAGUAGAAGUGGGCCCCGAAACCAGACUUUAUCUAACAUUUCUUUAUCCAAUAAACUCCCCCGUUCAUUCCAUGCCUCUCCUUGUGCUGCGACCACAAACAAAUCGUAAAUUUUGUUGCAUUUUUUUUGUCAUCUCUCAUUGUGAGUUAAACUUAGUCUGUUAUUGAUGCCAAUCAUUUCAAUCUGUUCAAAAAUGAGGCUGAACAGAAAGGUUGAGGUUUAAUUUAAAAAGUGUUUUAGGUGUCAAUAUGCCAAAACGCAAUAGAAAAACAAUUGCACUGAGGUGAUGCUUGAUAUGUUGUAUGUUGGAAUGUGAGCUCAAAUGCUGUCUAUUGUGCUGUAUCUUGAAGGAUAUGACAAUAUCCUGUGGCUUUAUGAGGGCUAGAGAUGUUUUUGUGUAGCGUUAUCUUCGGAGGGGAACAUGAAUGUUCUGGCGGAAUAACUCAUGUUGGCAUUGAUGUUGAUAUUAUUUGCUCUUCCAGGUCACUGUCUUUCAUAACAAAUCACAAGUGAACACAAAUGUUUUUGUUUGUUUGUUUUUUGGUGCCUUUUAUUCCUGCCGCCAAACCAACCCAGACAAAGCCAUUGGUCCAAUCACUUUGUGAAGCACCAAUCGUGCUCAAUGAUCCAUGCUGCCAGUCUCUUUAGUUGAUGAGGGCUGGACUAGAUUCAUUGACUAUCUGUCCAUUUCAAGGGAAACCUAUCCCUCCCCAUCAAUAUCAGCAUUUAGACCAGUUAGUGAAAACAAAGCUGAAGCUCUUUUCUCAGAUAUCGGGUCAAUGCCCUUCAUUACGCAAGUGUACACUCACCCUAACCCUAACCAAGUGCAUUCGGAAAGGAUUCAGACCCCUUGACUUUUUCCACAUUUUGUUACGUCACAGCCCUAUUAUAAAAUGUAUUACAUUUUUGUUUUUCCUUCAGUCUACACAAAAUACCCUAUAAUGACAAAGCAAAAACAUUUUUUUACAUUUAAAAAAAUAAAAAAUAAAAUGGAAACAUUGCAUUUCUAUAAGUAUUCAUACCCUUUAUUCAGUACUUUGUUGAAGCACCUUUGGCAGUAAUUACAGACCAAAAAGGUUCUUCAACAAAAUCUCCGAUUGCUCAGUUUGGCCGGGCGUUGGCCGGGCGGGUAGCCCUAAGAAGUGCGUUGGUGGUUCCAAACUUCUUCCAUUUAAGAAUGAUGGAGGCCACUGUGUUCUUGGAGACCUUAAAUUGCAUACAUUUUUUGGUACUCUUCCCGAGAUCUGUGCCUCGACACAAUCCUGUCUCUGAGCUCUACGGACAAUUUCUUCGACCUCAUGGCUUGGUUUUUGCUCUGACAUGCACUGCCAACUGUGGGACCUUAUAUAGACAGGUGUGUGCCUAUAUGGCCAAUCAAUUGAAUUUACCACAGGUGGACUCCAAUCAAGUUGUCGAAACAUCUCAAGGAUGAUCAAUGGAAACAGGAUGCACCUGAGCUCAAUUUCGAGUCUCAUAGCAAAGGGUCUGAAUACUUAUGGAAAUAAGGUAUUUCCGUUUUUAAUUUUUCACAAAUUGGCAAACAUUUCUUAAACUUGUUUUUGCUUUGUCAUUAUAUGGUGUUGUGUGUAGAUUGAUGAGGAACAAAAUAUAUUUAAUACAUUUUAAAAUAAGGCUGUUAUGUAAUGAAAUGUGGAAAAAGGAAGGGGUCUGAAUACUUUCCAAAUAUUGGGACAAUUCGUCGGGACAAGGACUCUACAAAGUGCCAAGCGUUCCACAGGGAUGCUGGCCAAUGUUGACUCCAAUGCUUCCCACAGUUGUGUCAAGUUGGCUUGGUGUCCGUGGGUGGUGGACUAUUCUUGAUAUACACUGGAAACUGUUUUACAUGUAAAACCGAGCAUCGUUAAAGGAUUUAACAAGUAACAUCAAUAAGGGAUCAUAGCUUACACCUAGAUUCACCUGGUCAGUCUAUGUCAAGGAAAGAGCAGGUGUUCCUAAUGUUUUGUACACUCAGUGUACAAGUUACAGUAUGCACCGGUCUUUUGACUGCAGCUGUACAGAAGACCCCCAACCUUAAUAACGACAAUAUGCCACGAUGCAUACACUCUAUCGAUGCAAGUCCACUGCCCUGGGUGUGAUGAAAGUGCUUUGCAAAUUAAAUGAAUUAUUAUUACUCACAGUUCUUUCCCUCCUCCUCAUGCUCUUUUCCCACAUGGCCAUGCCACACUUCUCAGAUGGCUGGUCAGACAGACUAUGCUUGCCAUUGCUGGAGAGGGGCCAAUGGACCCCUGAAGGACCCCCACCUGCAGGAAAUGUGCUCUAAACAGGCAAGAAUACAUCUCAGCCUCAUGGCAAAAUGUGUAAUAGCAAAAUGUUCCCCUCACGUCCCCUCUCCUAUUUGCACUCGCUAUGGAACCACUGGCCGAGGCCAUCAGGUUAACGCCUGCUAUACAGGGGCUGCUCAUUGGUGAUGUUCACCAUAAAGUAAGCUUGUACGCUGAUGAUGUCCUGAUAUUCAUCUCUAGUCCCGAGACUUCAAUUACAUCUCUUAUUAAUAUUAUUGAAUUAUUCAGCGAAUUCUCAGGCUACAAGAUUAACUUAACUAAAUCAGAGGCUAUGCCACUUGGUAACCUACACUCUGUACCUAAUACUUCUCCCCCCUUCCUUUUUAAAUGGUCUCCCUCAAGUUUGACGUAUCUGGGUAUAUUUGUAACUCCUAAAUUCCAGCAAAUGUACAAAGCCAAUUUUGUUCCCUUGUUUGAUACAAUUAGAACUCUCUUCCGAUUUCAUGGUUGCGUAGAAUAUCCCUCUUGAAAAUGAACGUUUUACCUAGACUACUUUACCCAAUCCAAAUGAUCCCAGUAUUACUCUCCAAUAAGGUAAUACAGGAUGUAAAUGGAUGGCUAACUUCCUUUAAAUGGAGUAAACGCAAGCCAAGACUUAAGAUGGCAAUAUUGCAGCUUCCAAGUUCUAUGGGUGGCUUGGAUCUACCCAAUAUCAGGUUCUAUCAAUGGUGUGUCCAACUAUGUUAUAUUUCUGACUGGAUCACAAAUGAUGACUUCUCUAUUUGGUUAGACAUUGAGACUUCUCUUUCAAAAUACCCCUUACAGGAUAUUUUAUUUUUCGGAAGUUUCAAGUCUGUAAAAGGUCACUGCAAUAAUCCCAUUACAUUUAACACACUCAAAGUAUGGAGGUCAGUUCAAUGUUUUUUUGGGAAGGUCCAAACUAACCUCCUGCUCUUACCCCAAUUCUUAUCAACCUAGAUGUUGGUCCAGGAUUGCUGGAUGCUGGCUUUAACUUUUGGCUUAAUAAGGGCAUACGCAGACUAAAUGAUUUAUUUGCUGAUAAGAUUUUAUUGUCAUUUGAGCAGAUGGUCGAGAAAUAUCGACUCCCAAAGCAGGACUUUUUCCGCUUCCUACAAGUAAGACAUUAUAUUUUGAAGAGCACCACCUUAAUUGGCAACCCUGAUGUGACUGUCAUUGAAAUAAUGUUUUUUUUUGUCCCACAAAGGAAAAUGUCUGUAAGUCUGUUUUAUGAUACUUUAAGAUCCUUUUCUGCUGUCAACACACAGAGGGUGAAACAAGUGUGGGAGAAAGAAUUGUCUGUUACUAUUGACAAAGAGAUGUGGGAGGACAUUUGGAGAUAUGCAAAAACAAUAUCUAUUUGUAAUCGUACUAGAGCAAUCCAGUUAAGAAUAAUACACAGAUUGCAUAUAUCCCCAAAUCACAGACAUGCUUUUAGCCCCACUUCCUCUUCUCCUCAGUGUCUUAAAUGUAAAACUGAUACAGGCUCCCUAAUACAUUGUUUAUGGUCAUGUACCAAAAUACAAAGAUACUGGUCUGGUGUUCUGCACGAAAUUGAAAAGAUCCUAGGGGUUGAUUUAGAAUUGGACCCAGUUUAUUUACUGUUAGGUCUCCCUAGUAGGCGUGUUACUUCUGUGGGUAAGAGGAGGCUUUACAACAUCCUUACCUUCGCAGCGAGGAAAAACAUCCUCUUACAGUGGAUUAGUGAUGAGGUUCCUCUAUUAAAGAUUGGCAUAAGAUACUAUUUGAAUGGGUGCCACUGGAAUAGCUGACAUGUACAUUGCAUUCUAAAACAGAUCAGUUCUACAAAGUAUGGGAACCUUGCUCGGCUCCAGUGAUGUACUGGGGCUAUUCGCACCAUCCUCUGUAGCGCCAUGCAAUUUGAGGGGCCGUGCCAAACCUUUUCAUCCUCCUGAGGGCAGGAGGCAACACAUAGCUAACGUUAGUCACAACAAAUGGGAAUUCGUAACAUAUAUGUUUUGCCAGUGAUUAACUUAUUGUACGAAGUGCAAUUCGCAACAUAUUGUAGGAAUUGUAAUUCGUAACAUAUCAUACGAAAUGGAUGAUGGACAUCCACAAAUGAAUGUAUACCAAAUGAAACGUAACAUAUCAUACUGUUUGGAGUGUCCCGGGUUUACAUUUACUUUCUUACGUCUACCCCGGAGUCCAGGUUGCUAACACAAACAAUAAAGCGUGUCUUCAUGCAU